rnacentral:lncRNA from 1 species
UUAAUGUUGUCAUAUUGGGUUCCAUUGUUUAUUAGAAAAGUAUAAAUGAAAAAUGUUGGGUUUUGGGGUUUUCUGAAGAUGAAGAUAUGCGAUGUUUUGAGGUUGAUGCUUGGAUAAUGGAGAUGGAUUGUGAUUUUGUGAAGGUUUUAGAGCGACAGUGUUAUGAGGCUAUGAAGGUUUAUAUAGUUUUUGGUUACAGGGUUUUGGUUUUUGAAAGGAGUUUUCAAAGAGAAUAAGGACAGUGUAGAGAGUUUUGGGAGUUACAGAGG